rnacentral:sRNA from 1 species
AAUGCCUUUUUCUCAGAUUCAUCAAUGUGAGAAUAACAGAAUGACCAAAGAAGCUGAAUCGGUUCGCUCUUGAGAAACUUCCUCUGCUUUCUU